ensembl:snRNA U4 U4 spliceosomal RNA
AGCUUUGCGCAGUGGCAGUAUCGUAGCCAAUGAGGUUUAUCUGAGGCGCAAUUAUUGCUAAUUGAAAAGUGUUUUAUUCCUUUAGGUAGCUGUCUAUCUCUGACUGAUUCACAGUUCUUUAUGUAUUCUGGGCAUGAUGGUUAAGUC